rnacentral:rRNA from 1 species
UACGUAGGGGGCAAGCGUUGUCCGGAAUCAUUGGGCGUAAAGAGCGCGUAGGCGGUCCGGUAAGUCCGCUCUGAAAGCCCGGGGCUCAACCCCGGGAGGCGGGCGGAUACUGUCGGGCUAGAGUCCGGAAGAGGCGAGUGGAAUUCCUGGUGUAGCGGUGAAAUGCGCAGAUAUCACUUGGAACGCCAAUGGUGAAAACAGCUCGCUGGGGAUGUGCUGACGCUGAGACACGAAAGCCAGGGGAGCAAACGGG